AUUCGGAGCGAGUGGCGAACUGGUGAGUAACACGUGGGUAACCUGCCCCGAAGCGGGGGAUAACAUUUGGAAACAAGUGCUAAUACCGCAUAAUUAGUUGGAACCGCAUGGUUCCAACUUGAAAGAUGGCUCUGCUAUCACUUUGGGAUGGACCCGCGCCGUAUUAGUUAGUUGGUGAGAUAAAAGCCCACCAAGACGAUGAUACGUAGCCGACCUGAGAGGGUAAUCGGCCACAUUGGGACUGAGACACGGCCCAGACUCCUACGGGAGGCAGCAGUAGGGAAUCUUCCACAAUGGACGAAAGUCUGAUGGAGCAACGCCGCGUGAGUGAUGAAGGUUUUCGGAUCGUAAAACUCUGUUGUUAAAGAAGAACAAGUGUUAGAGUAACUGUUAACACUUUGACGGUAUUUAACCAGAAAGCCACGGCUAACUACGUGCCAGCAGCCGCGGUAAUACGUAGGUGGCAAGCGUUGUCCGGAUUUAUUGGGCGUAAAGCGAGCGCAGGCGGUUUUGUAAGUCUGCUGUGAAAGCCCUCAGCUCAACUGAGGAAGUGCAGUGGAAACUACAAAACUUGAGUACAGAAGAGGAAAAGUGGAACUCCAUGUGUAGCGGUGAAAUGCGUAGAUAUAUGGAAGAACACCAGUGGCGAAGGCGGCUUUCUGGUCUGUUACUGACGCUGAGGCUCGAAAGCAUGGGUAGCGAACAGGAUUAGAUACCCUGGUAGUCCAUGCCGUAAACGAUGAAUACUAGGUGUUGGAGGGUUUCCGCCCUUCAGUGCCGCAGCUAACGCAUUAAGUAUUCCGCCUGGGGAGUACGACCGCAAGGUUGAAACUCAAAGGAAUUGACGGGGGCCCGCACAAGUGGUGGAGCAUGUGGUUUAAUUCGAUGCUACGCGAAGAACCUUACCAGCUCUUGACAUCUUCUGCCAACCCAAGAGAUUGGGCGUUCCCUUCGGGGACAGAAUGACAGGUGGUGCAUGGUUGUCGUCAGCUCGUGUCGUGAGAUGUUGGGUUAAGUCCCGCAACGAGCGCAACCCUUAUUAUUAGUUGCCAGCAUUUAGUUGGGCACUCUAGUGAGACUGCCGGUGAUAAACCGGAGGAAGGUGGGGACGACGUCAAAUCAUCAUGCCCCUUAUGAGCUGGGCUACACACGUGCUACAAUGGAUGGUACAACGAGUCGCGAAACCGCGAGGUCAAGCUAAUCUCUUAAAGCCAUUCUCAGUUCGGAUUGCAGGCUGCAACUCGCCUGCAUGAAGUUGGAAUCACUAGUAAUCGUGGAUCAGCAUGCCACGGUGAAUACGUUCCCGGGCCUUGUACACACCGCCCGUCACACCAUGAGAGUUUGUAACACCCAAAGAACG
rnacentral:rRNA from 2 species